AUGGGAGGACAUACAGAGGGUUUGGGAACUGGCGUGGUCUCAUCUCUAUGGUUUGGAGGACCACAUCUCUAUGGUCUGGAGGACUUUGGAGGCCCACAUCUCUAUGGUUUGGAGGACUUUGGAGGACCACAUCUCUAUGGUUUGGAGGACUACAUCUCUAUGGUUUGGAGAACCACUCUAUGGUAUAUGGGGGGUGUUGUUCUCAUCUCUAUGGUUUGGAGGCCCACAUCUCUAUGGUUUGGAGGACUACAUCUCUAUGGUUUGGAGUCCCACUCUAUGGUAUAUUGGGGGUGUUGUUCUCAUCUCUAUGGUUUGGAGGCCCACAUCUCUAUGGUCUGGAGGACUUUGGAGGACCACAUCUCUAUGGUUUGGAGGCCCACAUCUCUAUGGUUUGGAGGACCUCAUCUCCAUGGUGUGGAGGACCACACCUCUAUGGUAUAUGGGGGGUGUUGUUCUCAUCUCUAUGGUCUGGAGGACCACAUUGAGGGGGGGGAUAGGGCCUGUUCUCAUCUCUAUGGUCUGGAGGACUUUGGAGGCCCACAUCUCUAUGGUCUGGAGGCCCACAUCUCUAUGGUNGGGGGGAUAGGGCCUGUUCUCAUCUCUAUGGUCUGGAGGACUUUGGAGGCCCACAUCUCUAUGGUCUGGAGGCCCACAUCUCUAUGGUUUGGAGGACCACUCAAUGGUAUAUGGGGAGUGUUGUUCUCAUCUCUAUGGUCUGGAGGACUUUGGAGGACUUCGGAGGACUUCAUCUCUAUGGUUUGGAGGCCCACAUCUCUAUGGUUUGGAGGACCACAUCUCUAUGGUUUGGAGGACCACUCAAUGGUAUAUGGGGGGUGUUGUUCUCAUCUCUAUGGUGUGGAGGCCCACAUCUCUAUGGUUUGGAGGACUUUGGAGGCCCACAUCUCUAUGGUUUGGAGGCCCACAUCUCUAUGGUUUGGAGACCCACAUCUCUAUGGUUUGGAGGACUUUGGAGGCCCACAUCUCUAUGGUGUGGAGUCCCACUCUAUGGUAUACUGGGGGUGUUCUCAUCUCUAUGGUCUGGAGGACCACAUCUUUAUGGUUUGGAGGACUGUGGAGGCCCACAUCUCUAUGGUUUGGAGGCCCACAUCUCUAUGGUUUGGAGGCCCACAUCUCUAUGGUUUGGAGGCCCACAUCUCUAUGGUAUACUGGGGGUGUUCUCAUCUCUAUAGUCUGGAGGACCUCAUCUCUAUGGUCUGGAGGCCCACAUCUCUAUGGUUUGGAGGCCCACAUCUCUAUGGUUUGGAGGCCCACUCUAUGGUAUAUGGGGGGUGUUGUUCUCAUCUCUAUGGUCUGGAGGCCCACAUCUCUAUGGUUUGGAGGACUUUGGAGGCCCACAUCUCUAUGGUGUGGAGGCCCACAUCUCUAUGGUCUGGCGGUCCACAUCUCUAUGGUUUGGAGGACCACUCAAUGGUAUAUGGGGGGUGUUGUUCUCAUCUCUAUGGUUUGGAGGCCCACAUCUCUAUGGUUUGGAGGCCCGCAUCUCCAUGGUUUGGAGGACCUCAUCUCUAUGGUUUUUAGGCCCACUCUAUGGUCCAUUGGGGGUGUUCUGACCUUUCCCAUCCCUAUUUGAGGACCUGCCCCGGUCGCGCUUUCUCCAACUUGCGGCGCCUCUCGGCCGGGAUCUCGUCCAGGCUGAUGCCGUGAUUGCUGGCACUGAAGGAGUUAAUGGGGUUAAUAGGGGGGUUAAUGGGGGUAAUGGGGGUUAAUGGGGUUAAUGGGGGUCAAUGGGGUUAAUGGGGUUAAUAUGGGGGUUAAUGGGGUUAAUAUGGGGUUAAUAUGGGGUUAAUGGGGACAAUGGGGGGUUAUUGGGGUUAAUGGGGGUAAUAUGGGGGUAAUAUGGGGGUUAAUGGGGUUAAUGGGGGUUAAUGGGGUUAAUAUGGGGUGAGGGGUUAAUAUAGGGAUUAAUGGGGGU
ensembl:lncRNA